AUUUUAUGAUGAUUAAACUUUACACCAUCUUUCGACUGCAAUAUUAUUGAUGAAUUUAUAAGUUUUAUUCUGACUAUAAAA
rnacentral:snoRNA from 1 species